UACGUAGGGUGCGAGCGUUAAUCGGAAUUACUGGGCGUAAAGCGUGCGCAGGCGGUUAUGCAAGACAGAGGUGAAAUCCCCGGGCUCAACCUGGGAACUGCCUUUGUGACUGCAUAGCUAGAGUACGGUAGAGGGGAUGGAAUUCCGCGUGUAGCAGUGAAAUGCGUAGAUAUGCGGAGGAACACCGAUGGCGAAGGCAAUCCCCUGGACCUGUACUGACGCUCAUGCACGAAAGCGUGGGGAGCAACAGG
rnacentral:rRNA from 1 species